CAGCCGCCGCGGGAAUACGAAGGGUGCAAGCGUUACUCGGAAUUACUGGGCGUAAAGCGUGCGUAGGUGGUGGUUUAAGUCCGUUGUGAAAGCCCUGGGCUCAACCUGGGAAUUGCAGUGGAUACUGGGUCACUAGAGUGUGGUAGAGGAUAGUGGAAUUUCCGGUGUAGCAGUGAAAUGCGUAGAGAUCGGAAGGAACAUCUGUGGCGAAGGCGACUAUCUGGGCCAACACUGACACUGAGGCACGAAAGCGUGGGGAGCAAACAGGAUUAGAUACCCCGUAGUCCCUGUCUCUUAUACA
rnacentral:rRNA from 1 species